GUCUUGUACAGUAUCGAGUAUUUCAACUCAGUUACCCUAUUUUCCUGUGCUACCAUAGACAGCUCUAUGCUAUGAAGGUGAGUGGAUAUUCCAUUUACCUCCUCCCUGAAAAGGCCCAUAUCGGUGGCUGUAUUUUGGCGUAACUCUGUCAGGAGGCUCCUAAGUGUCUCUUCAAUCACCCGGGAAGCCGAUACUUCCUGCAAAUUGGGGAGAGUAGGUUGAGAAUCUGUGUUCAUGCCUCCUCCUCAAGGAAAAUAUCACUUCUCAAUGGCAACACCAUGACAGGUGUCUGGGGGUUCUGCAGCCUUCAGAGAGUACCUAUGUCAGCUGUAAGAGGUGGUUUGUUUUCCUUGUAAUUUUCGUUGUGGAGUCCUAUACCAAUAAGGUAGCUGAAUAUCCU